rnacentral:miRNA from 18 species
CAACAAAACACAGCCUGCCUUA